ensembl:snRNA
GUGUUAUAUGAAAGGAGAGGAAGUUAGCACUCCCCUGGACAAGGAUGGAGAGGCCCUCAACCUGACAACAUGCAUAUAAUUAAGGCACUGACACCUCCUUCAUGGCAUCCAGCCAUG